rnacentral:rRNA from 1 species
CCUACGGGGGGCUGCAGUGGGGAAUAUUGGACAAUGGGGGCAACCCUGAUCCAGCCAUGCCGCGUGUGUGAAGAAGGCCCUCGGGUUGUAAAGCACUUUCAGUGAGGAAGAACGCCUGGUGGUUAAUACCCAUCAGGAAAGACAUCACUCACAGAAGAAGCACCGGCUAACUCCGUGCCAGCAGCCGCGGUAAUACGGAGGGUGCGAGCGUUAAUCGGAAUUACUGGGCGUAAAGCGCGCGUAGGUGGCUUGAUAAGCCGGUUGUGAAAGCCCCGGGCUCAACCUGGGAACGGCAUCCGGAACUGUCAAGCUAGAGUGCAGGAGAGGAAGGUAGAAUUCCCGGUGUAGCGGUGAAAUGCGUAGAGAUCGGGAGGAAUACCAGUGGCGAAGGCGGCCUUCUGGACUGACACUGACACUGAGGUGCGAAAGCGUGGGUAGCAAACGGGAUUAGAUACCCUUGUAGUC